rnacentral:rRNA from 1 species
GACGAACGCUGGCGGCGUGCCUAAUACAUGCAAGUCGAGCGGACCGAACAGGAGCUUGCUCUUGUUCGGUUAGCGGCGGACGGGUGAGUAACACGUGGGUAACCUGCCCGUAAGACCGGGAUAACUCCGGGAAACCGGAGCUAAUACCGGAUAACACCGAAGACCGCAUGGUCUUUGGUUGAAAGGCGGCUUCGGCUGCCACUUACGGAUGGGCCCGCGGCGCCUUAGCUAGUUGGUGAGGGAACGGGUCACCAAGGCGACGGUGCGUAGCCCGCCCGAGGAGGGGGACCGCCCCCACUGGACUGGGGCCACGGCCCAGCCCCCUCCGGGAGGCGCAAGUGGGGAUCUUUCGCCAUUGGGCGAAGUCUUACCGGAGCACCGCGGGGGGGGGGAAGAAGGCUUCGGGUCGGUAAACUCCGUUGUUUGGGGAGGAAGAGCGGCGGUCGAACAGGGCGGCGGGGUGACGGUACCUAACGAGAAAGCCCCGGCUAACUACGUG